rnacentral:lncRNA from 1 species
AAGUAUCAGUAAAAUAAAAGCAUGAAUGAAUAUAUUUAAAAAGCAUGAAUGAAUAUACUUAACUGUUAUUGCCAAAAGCCAAGAGUUCAGUAGUUCCUUUGAAUCCUACACCUGCAGGGGAAACAGGUCACCCAAGAGAAGAAGUGGUGUGUGACAGAUGCUUUUAAGAAGUCAAGUUGGCCAGGUGUGGUGCCUCACGCCUGUAAUCCCAGCACUUUGGAAGGCCAAGGUGGGCGGAUCAUGAGGUCAGGAGAUCGAGACCAUCCUGGCCAACAUGGUGAAACCCCGUCUCUACUGAAAUACAAAAAAUUAGCUGGGCAUGGUGGCACGCACCUGUAGUCCCAUACUCAGGAGGCUGAGGCAAGGGAAUCGCUUCAACCCGGGAUGCGAAGGUUGCAGUGAGCUGAGAUUGCACCACUGCACUCCAACCUGAUGACAGAGCGAGACAAAACUCCUCGGUGUCAGUAUGUGGGCCUUGCCCCCCACUGCCUUUCAAAACAGGAUGGAAAAACUGCUUACGUGGUAUGAUAUUUUAACCAGAGGGCACUUGGAAAAUCAGAAUUCGAGGGUAGCCUGCACACAAGUCCUAAGGCCAACCUUGGAUUUAUGAACACGUAGAACAUAGUGCUCGCGGUGCUCAGACAUGAGCCAUCGAGGUAAGGCAAGCUCAUUCUCGGCCAGCCUCACAUUUUUCUCCUUAUUUUUAUCUGUGGGAUCAGGCGUGUUGGAGAGAAACAAGAGAGGCCUGGUAACAACAGCUUCCCCGUCAUUCUUGGUUACUUACAUCUGUGGUCAAUUUUCCACACUUUAUUCCAUAAAAGGUAAAGGAGGCACGGUACUUGCAACAGGAUAAUCUAAACAAUAUGAACCAUGUUACUGUUAAAGACCAUCUGGCCGAUCACGCCCAGGCCCGGACUUUUAACUCCUUGAGGUAAGAAAGAUGCCAAACCCAGAGAGGCCGGGGCCUUUUUCGGGGCUCUUACUCCAAGUCUUUUCCUCCCUCUUCAAGUCAGUUAAAACAACAACCUCUAAGGUCUCUGCCAAUCCUAAUAUUCUCUCUGAUUCUAGGCCGGCUGCUGGUGAAUCUGCGAGCUUUGUGAAUGAGCAACUUGCAAAAUGCUUCUAUGAAAUGCCUCUUUUAUUUCUCUUUAAAAGGAAACAUUAGAAGCUUAAAAAAAAAAAAAAAAC